ACGUGAAAUUCCGUCGGAAUCUGGGAGGACCAUCUCCUAAGGCUAAAUACUCUCUAGUGACCGAUAGUGAACCAGUACCGUGAGGGAAAGGUGAAAAGCACCCCGGAAGGGGAGUGAAAUAGAACCUGAAACCGUGUGCUUACAAGUAGUCAGAGCCCGUUAAUGGGUGAUGGCGUGCCUUUUGUAGAAUGAACCGGCGAGUUACGAUUUGAUGCAAGGUUAAGCAGUAAAUGUGGAGCCGUAGCGAAAGCGAGUCUGAAUAGGGCGUUUAGUAUUUGGUCGUAGACCCGAAACCAGGUGAUCUACCCUUGGUCAGGUUGAAGUUCAGGUAACACUGAAUGGAGGACCGAACCGACUUACGUUGAAAAGUGAGCGGAUGAACUGAGGGUAGCGGAGAAAUUCCAAUCGAACCUGGAGAUAGCUGGUUCUCUCCGAAAUAGCUUUAGGGCUAGCCUCAAGUGAUGAUUAUUGGAGGUAGAGCACUGUUUGGACGAGGGGCCCCUCUCGGGUUACCGAAUUCAGACAAACUCCGAAUGCCAAUUAAUUUAACUUGGGAGUCAGAACAUGGGUGAUAAGGUCCGUGUUCGAAAGGGAAACAGCCCAGACCACCAGCUAAGGUCCCAAAAUAUAUGUUAAGUGGAAAAGGAUGUGGCGUUGCCCAGACAACUAGGAUGUUGGCUUAGAAGCAGCCAUCAUUUAAAGAGUGCGUAAUAGCUCACUAGUCGAGUGACACUGCGCCGAAAAUGUACCGGGGCUAAACAUAUUACCGAAGCUGUGGAUUGUCCUUUGGACAAUGGUAGGAGAGCGUUCUAAGGGCGUUGAAGCAUGAUCGUAAGGACAUGUGGAGCGCUUAGAAGUGAGAAUGCCGGUGUGAGUAGCGAAAGACGGGUGAGAAUCCCGUCCACCGAUUGACUAAGGUUUCCAGAGGAAGGCUCGUCCGCUCUGGGUUAGUCGGGUCCUAAGCUGAGGCCGACAGGCGUAGGCGAUGGAUAACAGGUUGAUAUUCCUGUACCACCUAUAAUCGUUUUAAUCGAUGGGGGGACGCAGUAGGAUAGGCGAAGCGUGCGAUUGGAUUGCACGUCUAAGCAGUAAGGCUGAGUAUUAGGC
rnacentral:rRNA from 1 species